UUGAACGCUGGCGGCAUGCCUUACACAUGCAAGUCGAACGGCAGCACGGGGCAACCUGGUGGCGAGUGGCGAACGGGUGAGUAAUAUAUCGGAACGUACCCUGGAGUGGGGGAUAACGUAGCGAAAGUUACGCUAAUACCGCAUACGAUCUAAGGAUGAAAGUGGGGGCUUCGCAAGAACCUCAUGCUCCUGGAGCGGCCGAUAUCUGAUUAGCUAGUUGGUGGGGUAAAGGCCCACCAAGGCUUCGAUCAGUAGCUGGUCUGAGAGGACGACCAGCCACACUGGAACUGAGACACGGUCCAGACUCCUACGGGAGGCAGCAGUGGGGAAUUUUGGACAAUGGGCGCAAGCCUGAUCCAGCAAUGCCGCGUGAGUGAUGAAGGCCUUCGGGUUGUAAAGCUCUUUUGUCAGGGAAGAAACGGUGAAGGCUAAUAUCUUUUGCUAAUGACGGUACCUGAAGAAUAAGCACCGGCUAACUACGU
rnacentral:rRNA from 1 species